rnacentral:rRNA from 1 species
UGGAAAUGACGAGUUUGAUCCUUGCUCAGGGUGAACGCUGGCGGUAUGCUUAACACAUGCAAGUUGAACGAAAUUACUAGCAAUAGUAAUUUAGUGGCGGACGGGUGAGUAAUAUGUAAGAAUCUGCGCUUGGGUGAGGAAUAACAGAUGGAAACGUUUGCUAAUGCCUCAUAAUUUACUAGAUCUAUGUGAGUAGCUAGUUAAAGAGAAUUUCGCCUAGGCAUGAGCUUGCAUCUGAUUAGCUUGUUGGUGAGGUAAAGGCUUACCAAGGCGACGAUCAGUAGCUGAUUUGAGAGGAUGAUCAGCCACACUGGGAUUGAGAACGGAACAGACUUUUACGGAAGGCAGCAGUGAGGAAUUUUCCGCAAUGGGCGCAAGCCUGACGGAGCAAUACCGCGUGAAGGAAGAAGGCCUUUGGGUUGUAAACUUCUUUUCUCAAAGAAGAAGAAAUGACGGUAUUUGAGGAAUAAGCAUCGGCUAAUUCCGUGCCAGCAGCCGCGGUAAUACGGGAGAUGCGAGCGUUAUCCGGAAUUAUUGGGCGUAAAGAGUUUGUAGGCGGUCAAGUGUGUUUAAUGUUAAAAGUCAAAGCUUAACUUUGGAAGGGCAUUAAAAACUGCUAGACUUGAGUAUGGUAGGGGUGAAGGGAAUUUCCAGUGUAGCGGUGAAAUGCGUAGAGAUUGGAAAGAACACCAAUGGCGAAGGCACUUUUCUAGGCCAAUACUGACGCUGAGAAACGAAAGCUGAGGGAGCAAACAGGAUUAGAUACCCUGGUAGUCUUGGCCGUAAACUAUGGAUACUAAGUGGUGCUGAAAGUGCACUGCUGUAGUUAACACGUUAAGUAUCCCGCCUGGGGAGUACGCUUGCACAAGUGAAACUCAAAGGAAUUGACGGGGGCCCGCACAAGCGGUGGAGCAUGUGGUUUAAUUCGAUGCAACACGAAGAACCUUACCAGGAUUUGACAGGAUCUAGGAGGAAGUUUGAAAGAACGCAGUACCUUCGGGUAUCUAGACACAGGUGGUGCAUGGCUGUCGUCAGCUCGUGUCGUGAGAUGUUGGGUUAAGUCCCGCAACCCUUUUUUUUAAUUAACGCUUGUCAUUUAGAAAUACUGCUGGUUAUUACCAGAGGAAGGUGAGGACGACGUCAAGUCAUCAUGCCCCUUAUAUCCUGGGCUACACACGUGCUACAAUGGUUAAGACAAUAAGUUGCAAUUUUGUGAAAAUGAGCUAAUCUUAAAACUUAGCCUAAGUUCGGAUUGUAGGCUGAAACUCGCCUACAUGAAGCCGGAAUCGCUAGUAAUCGCCGGUCAGCUAUACGGCGGUGAAUACGUUCUCGGGCCUUGUACACACCGCCCGUCACACCAUGGAAGUUGGCUGUGCCCGAAGUUAUUAUCUUGCCUGAAAAGAGGGAAAUACCUAAGGCCUGGCUGGUGACUGGGGUGAAGUCGUAACAAGGUAGCCGUACUGGAAGGUGUGGCUGGAACAAUUCCC